rnacentral:rRNA from 1 species
UGCAAGUCGAGCGGCAGCGCGGGGGCAACCCUGGCGGCGAGCGGCGAACGGGUGAGUAAUACAUCGGAACGUGUCCCGUAGUGGGGGAUAGCUCGGCGAAAGCCGGAUUAAUACCGCAUAUGCUCUACGGAGGAAAGCGGGGGAUCCGCAAGGACCUCGCGCUAUGGGAGCGGCCGAUGUCCGAUUAGCUUGUUGGUGGGGUAAAGGCCUACCAAGGCGACGAUCGGUAGCUGGUCUGAGAGGAUGAUCAGCCACACUGGGACUGAGACACGGCCCAGACUCCUACGGGAGGCAGCAGUGGGGAAUUUUGGACAAUGGGGGAAACCCUGAUCCAGCCAUGCCGCGUGAGUGAAGAAGGCCUUCGGGUUGUAAAGCUCUUUUGGCCGGAAAGAAAAGGCUACGGAUAAUACCUGUGGUCCUUGACGGUACCGGCAGAAUAAGCACCGGCUAACUACGUGCCAGCAGCCGCGGUAAUACGUAGGGUGCGAGCGUUAAUCGGAAUUACUGGGCGUAAAGCGUGCGUAGGCGGUCCCGCAAGUCCGCUGUGAAAGCCCCGGGCUUAACCUGGGAACUGCAGUGGAAACUAUGGGACUUGAAUCCGGCAGAGGGGGGUGGAAUGCCAGGUGUAGCAGUGAAAUGCGUAGAUAUCUGGCGGA